AUUGAACGCUGGCGGCAGGCCUAACACAUGCAAGUCGAGCGGAUGAAGGGAGCUUGCUCCUGGAUUCAGCGGCGGACGGGUGAGUAAUGCCUAGGAAUCUGCCUGGUAGUGGGGGAUAACGUCCGGAAACGGGCGCUAAUACCGCAUACGUCCUGAGGGAGAAAGUGGGGGAUCUUCGGACCUCACGCUAUCAGAUGAGCCUAGGUCGGAUUAGCUAGUUGGUGGGGUAAAGGCCUGCCAAGGCGAGGAUCCGUAACUGGUCUGAGAGGAUGAUCAGUCACACUGGAACUGAGACACGGUCCAGACUCCUACGGGAGGCAGCAGUGGGGAAUAUUGGACAAUGGGCGAAAGCCUGAUCCAGCCAUGCCGCGUGUGUGAAGAAGGUCUUCGGAUUGUAAAGCACUUUAAGUUGGGAGGAAGGGCAGUAAGUUAAUACCUUGCUGUUUUGACGUUACCAACAGAAUAAGCACCGGCUAACUUCGUG
rnacentral:rRNA from 1 species